GUAGGGCGGUAGUUCAAUUGGUAGAGCAACGGUCUCCAAAACCGUCUGUUGGGGGUUCGAAUCCCUCCCCCUCCGCCA
rnacentral:tRNA from 1 species